rnacentral:rRNA from 1 species
CUACGAAAGGUGCAAGCGUUGUUCGGAUUUACUGGGCGUAAAGAGAGUGUAGGUGGUUUAUUAAGUCGGAUGUGAAAUCCCGGGGCUCAACCUCGGAACUGCAUUCGAUACUGAUAGGCUAGAGUUUGGGAGGGGUAAGCGGAAUUCCGUGUGUAGCAGUGAAAUGCGUAGAUAUACGGAGGAACACCUGAGGCGAAGGCGGCUUACUGGACCAAUACUGACACUGAGACUCGAAAGCGUGGGUAGCAAACAGGAUUAGAUACCCUAGUAGUCC